GGUCACCACAACAUGAGGAACUGUACUAAAGGGUCCCGGCAUUAGGAAGGUUGAGAACCAGUGGGUUAGAGCAAGUCACAGUCUGCCUACAUUCGAGGACAGGAGAAAUAGACUGCACAUCUUGGCACAAGGAGCAGAUUUUUGGAGACUAUGUCCACAAUGCCUGGACCAGAGCACUCCAUCUCCAGCAAACCCUAUUCCAAGUCCAUUCCCGUGAGCAAAUUUACUUCAGAAACACCUUUCUAAACACCUUUACUCUCAGCUUCAAGAUCUGCGUCAGAGUCUCUGAAUCUUCGGGAAGAUAGCCCAUGCCCCAUUGCACUGCAGUCCAGUUCAAUUCAACAGUUACUGGGACCUGUCAUAGGAACCCUAUGUCAGCCCUUUCCCCCAUCCUACCUGAUCUCUCCCCAGCCCCCAGGUGGUCUCCGUGCUGCUCCCAGGACACUGAGGCUGAGCCUCCCGCGCGGAGUGUCCUUUCACCUGCUCCCUGGCCUCCCUCGGGACCAGCCUGGAAAGACGUGUGUUCUAUAGGAAUCUGCAGGGUCAUGACGAGCUCAGAAAUGCUUUGAGGUGCUUCUAGCCACAGUUGCUGAUGCUGCCUUCUGGCCUUCCAAAGUCACCUCAGGCAAACACGAAUGUUACCUUCAUCCCAAAGAGAGCUUGAUCUCCAGCUGUCCUUGAGGCUCCCCUCCAGCUGUGUGCAGAAGUGACCCGGAAUGGCGGGGGCUCUGCAAAGCGGCCUCAUCUUUACUGGAACAUGAGAGGAGGGUGUUUCCUUGGCUCGCCCCCAUGCUGUGUAGAUGAAGCUCUUCUGACCAGCAUGAUCUCUGGGUGCUGGAAGGUGUGACUUAAAGGAUUUUAGUUGUCAUCAAAGGACCAUGGUAUCCUUAAUUGUGUUAUAUUUUGAAGCUUUCUCUUCACAAACAUGUACCCAAAAAACCUUGGUGAUUUCAGAUUAUUUCCUAAUCACAAGAAAAGCUUAGCGUUUAUCUUCAAGGUUACCCUUUGGGAGGUUAGUUGUACAAGAUCAAAAACAACAAACAAACAAAAACCCACAAUUGAGAAAUUGAGUGCUAAUAGGCUUUACAGGAAAUUCCUGUAAAGGAAAUAGGCUUACUCAGUUUUCAACUGAGCCUAACCGCAAACCUCAUCUAGUCGAGGGGUGUCAAAGAGUCUUAGCUGCUUCAUCUUCAGGGCAUUUCCUUCGACUGAUAGAGGGAGUUAUUUGAUUUUCCUCUAUGUGACCAUGGAUUUGACAAUUUACCUGUCUGAGUAGGAAGAGAAACAGGAGAAUUCUUUGAAGAUGGGUAUUCUCAUAUGUUCUUCAGAAAGAACAGCCGGCAGUCAUUGAAGUGAUGUGAACUUCCUUCCUCUUUUUUGUCUUCAGAACAGGAAAUAAAGCUCUGGUCAGUUAAAUUCUUAAUUCAUUAUCAACCGAAUAUCAUUGAAGUUAUAGCCUUGACCCACUGAGGGGUUAACCUCUGACGGAAGACAUGCAGCUCAUAUAGAACCAGGAAAAUGCUUUGAGGAAGAGACCCUGCGGACAUGUGAGUUACACUGACGGGCUCUCAUCUCUUUCUGUGAGGCCACAGCAUGUGGUAACGGGACAGUGUCUCUGAGACUACAUUUGUACGUAAAUUCCCCUUAUUAUACCCAUUAAUAGCAGGGACCACUAUUUCAUGGUAACUUUUGUCUAUCAAUAAAACAGAAGGACUUUAGCUCUCACCCAAAGAGUACACGAGAGAGCCUGGCUCACUGAGACAAAGGAAUGUCACCUGAGUAACAGGAGCUUGACUGGCAGGCAGGCGCAGUGGGUGGCAGGGGGAUGUCAUCAUGCAGGUGUCCAGGGAGGGUCUCUCUGAGGAAAUCCAGGUCAGAUAUGAGAGCCAAAUGAGGUCAUGCAGGGCUUCACAGGAGUGCUGAGACUGGAUUCUUCACUUCACAGACAGAGGGCCAGUGCAGUCAGCAUGGAAGUGACACCCUCACGCUUGCUUUUAGAAAAAUGCCGCCAGAGGCUAGCGAUGGGUAGACUAUUUGUUCAGGGCUUUGUGGGCAAA